AUUUGUUUAAUUGUGGCAAAAGAAAAUUGAUAACUUGUUAUCUACAUAAAUUUAUUAUAGUUAUUUAACACUUAAUGCUUUAGUGUUAUAUUUAGUAGAUAAUUUUUUAUUUAAACUAAUGUUUUAUAAGAACAGGUUAUUUAAAGGGGAUAGGGCACAGUGCCAGCAUCUGCGGUUAGUCUGUUUUCUUUGUUUUCUUAUAGAUUAAGGUUUAUUUAUCAAUAAUUAAAACUAGGUUAAAUUAUUUUAUAUUUAUAUCAUGUAAUUAGAUUGUUUAAUAAUAUAGUAUAGUGACAGGGAUUAGAUACCCCAUUAACAUAUAUUCAUAAUAGUAUCUUAGUUUUAUAACUAAAAUGGUUUGGCAGUGAGUGAUUCUUUUUAGGGGAAGGUGUGAUUUAAAGGAUGUUCCGCCUAUUAAUUUACUUUUAUUAUGUUGGUGUAUAUCUGGUUUAAUAUUAUUGUUUAAUAAUAUAAUUUGUGAAGGUGAUUAGUUAAGCCAAGUCUAUGUGCUGCUUAUAAAAGUAAUCAUGCGUUACAUUUAUAAAUAUAUAAUUGUAAGAUUAUGUAAUUUAGGACUUAAUAGUAAUGUUUAAUAAAUUUGUAGAUGUGAAAAAAGUUUAGCUCAGGUACACACCGCCCGUCACCCUCGAUUUAUAUUGAGGUAAGUCGUAACAAGGUAACUUUAAAUGAAUUUGAAGUUGGAUACUAGGACUAAUGUUUUAGUGGAA
rnacentral:ncRNA from 1 species